CCCUAAAAAUCCAUUAAUGCUUCUUUAAUGGUGGCUUUUUUUUUACGGAAACAGAGGGCAAGCUACUAAUUAGUCGGCGAUGAAUCUCUGCUUAUGGAUUGUAAAAUGGAGGUUCCGAGUAUUGUUCUUGGCUUUGAUUAUUCUAAAGGAAUCGUACCCAAAAAAAUGCAGAAAGGUGAUGGCUGGAUGACAACACAACACAACUACAACAGGAAGAGACAGAAUGACUAGAGCUAGAAAAAGAAAGAACAUUGAAACUCACAUGAGGAAGCAAAUCAAGGAAAAUAGGGUUGCAAGCGCCAAAAUGAAAGAAGCAGACUCUGAAAUGGAAGAGCAAUUUCAAUUCUUUUUGAACUACAUGCUAAUAAAAUUCUCAGCUAGUUACGAAUGUAAUCUUAUUUGGUAAACAUGGCAAAUUAUGAUAUUUGUUGUUUACAUAUGUUUGAAUAUUUUCCAUGGUACACAUAUUUGGAUACUUUGGUCCUAUUUUGUUUUGAUUAUUGGGAUAUUUUAUAAAUAUGUACAUUUGUGAA